rnacentral:rRNA from 1 species
UACGAAGGGGGCUAGCGUUGUUCGGAAUUACUGGGCGUAAAGCGCGCGCAGGCGGUCCUUUAAGUCAGGGGUGAAAUCCUGGAGCUCAACUCCAGAACUGCCUUUGAUACUGGCGAUCUCGAGUCCGGGAGAGGUGAGUGGAACUGCGAGUGUAGAGGUGAAAUUCGUAGAUAUUCGCAAGAACACCAGUGGCGAAGGCGGCUCACUGGCCCGGUACUGACGCUGAGGUGCGAAAGCGUGGGGAGCAAACAGG